CAUCAGGGCACAGAGGAAGUGGCUAUUUCUGCACUCAGUGCUCAGAACAGUGGGCACUAAGAAUGGUUUGUAGCAUGACAUUC
rnacentral:snoRNA from 1 species